GCCGUAAAGCGCGGCCGGCGGCGGGGGAUGGCCGUUCGGGAGGUGGUGCGGGCGCUGAGGGCGGGCGGCUGCCGCUUCGGCCGCUUCUCCUCCUCCUCCUCCUCCUCCUCCGGCGGCGGGGAGCGGGCGGUGAGUGCGCGUCGCGGAGCAUUUAAGGGGCCCCGCUUCUGCCCCCCUGCCGGCUCCUGUAGGGACUGGAUCGGGCCCCCCGACAAGCGCUCCAACCUCCGCCCCGUCAUCUUCCACGUGCCCUCCCAUGAGUCCCCCCUGGAGCGGCGGCUGCGGGAGCUGCGGGAGGAGACCCAGGCAUGGAACCAGCGCUUCUGGGCUCGGCAGAACACCGCCUUCCAGCGGGAAAAAGAAGAAUUUAUCUAUUCAAGACUGAAAGCCAAGGGUCUGGAAACGAGAGAUAAAACAGGCCAGAAAGUGACACUGAAUGCGGAGGAAAUGGCUGACUUUUACAAGGACUUCCUACGUAAAAACUUUAGAAAGCAUAUGCAUUAUAACAGAGAUUGGUAUAAACGUAACUUUACUAUCACAUUCCUCAUGGGACAAGUAGCACUGGUGAGAGCCCUGAGGUGGCUUCGUCGGAAAACGAAACAUGUUGGAAAUCAGUGAUCACAGCUUUAUGAAGAAUGCAACGCUACCUAGGUCGGCUAUAUACUUGCUAAUAGUGAUGUUCAGAAUCUGAAUGUCCAAUGUCAUGAUCACUUAGGUCUGUUUGUUAGACUGUGUAAAUAAAAGUUGCCUUUAGCCUUAAUUUACAACCACUGUUUACCGUUUAUUCCACAAAUUAUCCAAAAUAUUUCCCAAUGAAAACACCACCCAAAAACUGUUGAAAGCUUUCUUCUUUUACAUUAACUGGAACGGAUCACAACAGGUUGGUGGUUGUUGUUGUUUUAACCACAGAGGUAUAAAACAAAUGCUGUGCCUGAACUUCAGUCAGAGAAUGUUAUCACAGACCGUAUCUGUAUAUGUAGACAAAAAUGCCUCGUUUUGCAGCAGCUGUCCAGGGCAGUAGUAGUAUAACAUGGCUGAAGGAACAAGUAUGGUUUGUGAGUGUAUAUGCACAAUUGACUUAGAAUAAUCCUUUUUUUUUUUAAUGUUACUCUUUUCCAUUUUUAUUGAAAGCUUAAGAUAUGAUUUUUUAUCAUUUUCUAAGGCAGUAGAGCCUAUAAUAAUUUUGUUUUCUUCAGAAGAAAUGUCCCUCUUGGACAACAGUUCCUCUAACCUGUGAUUUUUUGAAGAUUUUAGCUGCUGAGCAAUAAAAUAGAUGCAUUACCAGACACUUAAUCUUGGUAAAAAAGGAAACUGAUACUUGGCUGUAUGAGAAGAGAAUGUCGUAUUCUCACCCAUUUCUUCACUCCAAAGAACUUGCUUGAGGGGGAUUUUCUGGCUUCAAGGUAUGUAAUGUCAAUUGGGAGGAAGCUGAUUUAAGUGAAGUCUUAAAACGUUAUGCCAUGUAUCUGUAUUUUAAAAAGUUCCCUAACUCUGAAUGUUUUCCAUGUCUGUACAGCUCAGUGUAGUGAUUAUUUCGAUACAGUAAGUACUGAGAGGAUUCUGUUAUGGAAGCACGUUUCCCCCAAAGCCAUGCUGUAGGGAAGGCUUUCGUUUUGGAAAUGUGAACUCAAUAGCCAUUGACCUGUUUUUCAUAUCUAAACAUGAUGUAAUUUAUUCAUAAGCUUUUUCAGCUUGAGCGAAAAGGCUUGUUGGCGUUAAUGAACUAAUAAUUCCUCUGGAAAAUGAAAUAUUAAUGAUACCAUAAUGGAUUGCACUGUUUCAUACAGUGAUGAUAUCAUUGAGAUUAAAGUGCUCAUUGAAUUGUGGUUCUAAUAGCUGUGUUAAUAGUAAAUGAAUGCAUUCAUUAAUAGUGUUUGCUGAGGUGAAAAUCUACAGUAGUAGAACAUUAUUUGUGAAUGCUAUUUAAUACAUAGUGCUGUAAAAGGUAGAUGUUUAUUAAAAAGUUAAGAAAUUACAUGUUGCUUAGGGAGAAUAAGCUUUUGAAAUAGACUACUUUUGGUGUGGAAUGUAAUUCUUCAGGGUUUUACAUUAAAUCCUAUGUUACAGCAUGUAUGCUUUGAUUACAAUGUGAAUGCACACUUCAAUAAAUAAUUUCAACAUAAAAUGUGGAAGAAUUACUGGAUAACGUAUGGUAAUAUCCCUGAAGGGCAGUGACCAGAUCCCCAGCGUACUGGUGGCUGAUAGCCUUAUGUUGUGACAGCCUGUGUGUAAGAUCCCUACGGUAGUUUCACAUAUGCUUAAGUGGGUAGGGGUCUGUCAAAAGAACCAUUUUCAUUUGAGCUGCUCGCUUCCGUUAAUGCAAACACUGCCUGCCUGCUGAUCCAGAUCAGGAAAUUGACUUGCUGCUACUAGAACUAAUCCAAGGAAGAAAGUGGUGGAUGUCAGUUGAAUUCAUGUGUCUCAUUGUGCAGAUGUAAGAAUUCUGCUGUUGGCAGAAGGGAGGUGUGGGAAUUUAGAUGAAGGGUUUGGAUUGCUCCUCAGUCAACUCACAGUGGCUGUGAAAGUACUUCCAAUCUUCGUUCUGUUUCAUUGGAUCUCGUCCUUAGUAUUGCCUGUGGAAAUGCAAUGGGGAGCAUCUUCAGUAGUACAAGCAGUAUACCACAGCUAUAAAACUGUUUUCUGAAUAUGUAUUCCUAUAUUGGUCACCCAAAAAUAAUAUAACUAGUGUAAGAUGGAUUUUGCUCUGAGCUGCUUCUAGGUGAAGUUUGUGCCUUUAUGGGAUUGACAUCAUUAAGAUUCUACGUGGGGUGCCGGGCCCCUUCAUCUAAAGCCUAUUGAUGAAGUGAGGUGUUUAUCUGGUAGCAUUAAUUUCCAUGGAAUAUGAGAGGAGUAGGAAGAAUUGUCAAAUGGGAAUUGACAGGCAGAACAGCUAAAGGUUGGUUUGAAGUGAUUCCAGCACCCUUAUAGAUGACUGACAAAGGAGGAUUUGAACAGCUUAAGAUUUUUGAAAUUAAAUACAUUUCUUAAUUUUAUUGGGAGUUUUAAAAAUAGUGGAAGGAACUACUGAGAGUGUUUAACUGAAAAUUGCUAGUGGAAAAAAAUCUAGUUCAAAAGUCCAAUUUGUAAUAUAGAAGCUGACCUGCUCUGGUUCCAUUUCAAGGGGACUGUUCUGUAUGCAGUGUUCAAUUGCUACUAUUGCUAAGCAAUCCUGGUAUCCUACAGAGCAGUCAGAUUUAGCCAAAUGAGGACUUAGUUUACAUCCUGCACAGAGCCCAAGGGGCACUUGCUUGCAUAAAGGCUGGCAGAUACAAAUGUUUUCAGGAAAGAAUACUGCAUGUCUGGAUCUGUAAUAUACAUGAAUUACACUUUAUAUUAAAAUGAUAUCUACUGAUGGCUUUAAUCUGAUUCACAGAACAAUAAAACAAUUCAUGUUCACUUCUUUAAAGAAAAAAAUACAAAUUACGUUUUCUUAUAUUUCUUCAUAGGUGGAAUAUGAUCAUCUUGAAAUACUCAUUAAUAUUCAUUAUUGUAGAAAUUACUUCUUUGUGCCCUGACUCUGCAUUCAUUAAUGGAUUAAGAUUAAGUAUUCAGAGAUGUAGUUGAUUGAUCUAUUCAAGUGGCAGAUGCUGUGGAAAUGCAAAAGCAGUACUUUUUGUUAGAAGUAAUGAAGAAAAAAUACGACAUUAUUUGUUUUUGUGUGAUCUUAUUUAAGAGAUAUUUUGUAGCACUGCUACAGUCAAAAUCAGUUCUAGAAACCAUGCAGAUGCUCUGAAGACAAAGUCUUUGUUUCUUAUAGCUGCUUGUGUUGUCUUAGUGGUACAAGCUGGAUACCCAUUGGAUCUCUUUCCUUCCUCUUCAGAGUGUAAGAAAGACACAGUGAUUUCUUCUGUGCUGAUGUGCUCUGGUUCUCAUCCUUAAGGCUGGCUCAGGUGUGUUCUCAGGGGGGCCUGAAAUGGCAGGAGACAGCAAGAAUGACUGUGAGCAUUGCUUGGCUGCUGGGACUGCUGGCAAGCAAUUAGCAUUUAGCAUAAAUUCGAGCAGUCCUGAAACUACUUUGAUCAGCCAUGAGUGGCAAGAGUUUCCAGCAGCCCCCAUACCUGUCAAAAAUUGCUGGCGUUCAGCAGUGGUCUGUUCACACAGCCGCCUCCAGAGGAUCUACGGAUAUGAUUCAGCUGCAGAACUGGCUGUGACAACUUUCAUCAGCUGCGCCAGAACAAAUCAACAGGCAAGAUGCAGGUUUCAGAAUCAUGAGAAAUUCAGGUCACUGUUCAUACCACAUUGUUAAAGUACUUCGACAAAUUUUAGCUCCAUCUUUGUUUAAAAAAAAUAAAUAAAAAUCCUUGCCCUGGAAAAUAUUCAUA